rnacentral:SRP_RNA from 1 species
GCUGGCCAUGGUGGCAUCCACCCCUAGUACUAGCUACUCGGGAGCCUGAGGCAGGAGGAUCUUGAGCCCAGCAUUUCUGGGCUGUAGCAUGCUAUGCCGAUCAGGUGUUCACACUUAAGUUCAGCAUCAAUAUGGUGACCUCCUGGGAGUGGGGCACCGCUAGGUUGGCCCAGGUUGGAAAAGGAGCAGGUCAUAAGUAACUCCCAUGCUGAUCAGUAGUGGGAUCGUGCCUGUGAAUAGCUACUGCAUUCCAGCCUGGGCAAUAUAGCAAGGUCUCAA